UGGUUUUAUAAGGGGCUCUUCUCCCUUCGUUCAACACUUCUCCUUCCUGCCGCCUUGUGAAGAAGACGCCUUGCUUCCCCUUGGCCUUACACCAUGAUUGUAAGUUCCCUGAGGCCUCCCCAGUCAUGCUGAACUGAAGUUCUUGCUGCAUCCUGUGAACUGCUGGAACUUGCUGAUUGCACUUCAUAGACAAUUCCCCAAAGCCUGCAUUUGCAAAGCUGGCCUUUUCCAUUUGGAACACUCCUAGCAGCUACCAGUGCCACCCUCCCCACAGCCUCUCUGGCAAAGUAUGCUGGGGAACUUGGGGAUUUUUGCUAAGCUGAUUAGUUAGAUAUUGUGCAUCUCAGUGUAGUUUCAAUUACUAUUUUUCAUAUUAUGAGUGAGUUUGUGCAUUUUUUCAUAUGUUUAAGGGUUAUUCACACUGGUUUUUCUAUGAGCGGUCUAUAUCCUUUGCCCGCUUCUUUUUCUAAGUUUCUUGUUUUUUUAUCCAUUUUGGGGAGCUCUUUUAUAUUAGGAAAUCCAUCCUUUGUCUUGAAUAUAACUGAACAUAUUUUUCCUUGGUGUUUAUAUUGAAAUCACUAUAUCUUUUGACAAUUGAUACUUGCCUUUUCUUUGUCCUGUGAAUUUGUCAUAUGCUGAGAGAUGAAUUAAAGUCUCUUUCUACCGCUG
rnacentral:lncRNA from 1 species